GACGAACGCUGGCGGCAUGCCUAAUACAUGCAAGUCGAGCGAACAGAUGAAGUGCUUGCACUUCUGACGUUAGCGGCGAACGGGUGAGUAACACGUAAGGAAUCUACCUAUAAGCGGGGGCUAACAUUCGGAAACGGGUGCUAAUACCGCAUAAUAUCUUCUUUCGCAUGGACGAAGAUUGAAAGACGGUGCUGCUGCUACUUGUAGUUUACCUUGCGGUACAUUAGUUAGUUGGUGGGGUAACGGCCUACCAAGACGAUGAUGCAUAGCCGAGCUGAGAGGGUGAUCGGGCACAUUGGGACUGAGACACGGCCCAAUCUCCUACGGGAGGCAGCAGUAGGGAAUCUUCCGCAAUGGGCGAAAGCCUGACGGAGCAAUGCCGCGUGAGUGAAAAAGGCCUUCGGGUCGUAAAACUCUGUUAUAAGAGAAGAACAAAUUGUAGAGUAACUGCUACAGUCUUGACGGUAUCUUAACAGAAAGCCACGGCUAACUACGUGCCAGCAGCCGCGGUAA
rnacentral:rRNA from 1 species